UGAAUAUGGUCAAAAUAUGGUAAAGACGCAAACGACAUACACAAGUGAAAAUAAGAAGGCUGCGCAAGGUAAGCGAUGUGUUAAAGGUGAUUUUGCGGGGCUAAAAGAACGCGAAGAUAUAAUCGUUAUGUUAUACAAAUAUAAACGCUGGGAAUAUUUUUAUGUACUGCGUAAGUAUUCAGUGUAAUCUUGUCAAAUUUGGAACGUGGGCUAAACCUUGGUCUGCAGAAAAGUGCAAAAUUGGCCUGAAAUUAGCCACUCAUUACCUAUAUAUGUAUAGCUAGUAAAGAUUUGAGCAUGGAGGCACAGCAAAGUGACGAGCGAUCCCGAAACGCGUGUUCGGGUGUGAUACGGCCGACAAAAACAUAUGCUCAUUCUUAUAAAAAUAUUUGGUGUGAGAACGAUCAUCGUUGUUAUGAAUUGCCACCUUGCAAUGUGUCCUCGACCACAGAGGUGCACCAUCCGGCAAGUUAAUCAAUAUUAUAAGAUAAUAAAAAAUAGUGAUUUUAAUAAUGAAAUAGGCUGUCGACGGGUACCUUGUGCUAAACGGAAAUUAGAUAAGCAAAACACCACACAUGCUGAAUACGAGUAAUUCCUUGUAUAGUUUAGUAUAACAGAAAUAAUCAUAAAGCUUAUAUACGAUAAGUGGUCAUACGAGAUGUGAUGUGUAGUAGUUUAAACAAGAUCAUCGACCAGAACUAGAUAUUUAUAAAUAUAUCAUAACAAACAACAGGUCUAUAUCGCAAAGGAAAAUAGUGUGAUUCAGUUUUUAUGCGAUGUCACAUGCUCGAUGUACAUCGAUACGUAUUUCCGGUGUGUACCCUGCAAACGGCACAUCUUUGAUACGGAGAAGGCACCCUCGAAAUUAUGUAAUUUGCAUCACAGAAAGAGAAAUUUCAUUCGAUAACAUUUUUGCGGGUAUCAAGUAUAUAUAGCAUAUGAGCGAACUUUAUUCAGUUGGUAUUAAGACAUUUAAUGGUAACCAAAAUAUCGUAAGUAUUCUCUGUUCUUAUAGGAAGGGGUUGAGUAAAGAACAAGUUCGAGGGUCUCAAGUAUGAGUGUAAUAGAAUUCAUCCAUGUAAACAUCUGUCAAUGAAACCAUUUCUCCCGGACUAAGACUAAAAGUUCAGAAAGCAUCGAUAUUUGCCGUCAAGUGAACAUUCAUGCCGAUGAAAGCUAUUUAAAAAAAAAAAAAAAAAUAUAUAUAUAUAUAUAUAUAUAUGAAUGAGAUAUAUAUGAAUGAGAGAGCGAUAGCAAUCGAGAGAACACUCUCGUGAAAUGGAGAAUCUUACUGUGCGGAUAAACUGAGUUGAUGUGUGCGAUAUUGGCGUUACAUUGAUGGGGCUGUCUGACCGAUAUGGACGAGUCCGUCCCUAGUCGGCUCGGAAAAUACAGUCUAUAAUAGCAAUGACCGGCAUGUUACAUAGUUGGUAUGUGGGUGUUGACAAGGAACGAAAUUCAAUAUGUCAUACGGAAGAUUUCAGCUGUUCAGCUAUAGCGGAUAACUAUAAGUCAGUGCAUAAAAUGACCACUGGAUCAGUUGUUGUAUAUAUUUAAUACGGUCACUACAAUUAAGAAAUAUGAUGCAUACACAUUAGAGAUCGUAUCGAUGCGUUCAUUAUCGUUGUGCGAGGUAUAUUUAAUUGGGAACGAAUGGGCAAUAAUUCUUUCGCAGUUUACGUUUAUUGCACGAAAACCUUUCGUAGACGACGUGCAAUUGCAUGGGGGUAUACAAAAUGAUGGGAUGGUUGAAAAACUAGCAGACACGAUAACUUGAACUAACUUCUCCCCCAGAAAACAAAAGCAUGGGGUGAAUUGUUUAGGUAUCAUGUAGAAUGAGCCCGGCUCGCCCAGGUCAUCUCCAUUAUAUACAUUGCUCUUUUGUAGGAGGUAAACCCGUUUGUGUUUGACUUCAUUAUUUUCAAUAACACAUAGAUAAAUAUAACUAAAUGGAUAAAUAAAUAUUUGUAAAUAUUUCGAUUUCACAUGAUAAUUUAUCCUUUCUUCUCAUAUUUGCAUUUGCAAGUGUCUAAUUAUUACACUAUCAAAAACAUGAUUCCUUUAUAAGGAAAUGAUCCUGUUUCAUUGCUAUCUCGAAAGCCAACAAUACUAUACAUAUCUGCAAGCUAGUGGACAUUAUCCUCCACGCCGCUGACGUACGUGGACAUAUAUCUGUAUAGUAUAUGUAUGUGAGAGCAAAGCUAAUAGCUUUCUUGUCCUUCCAGGCGAUGGUGAUAGUCCCGGAAAGGUUCAUGCAAAUUCGACUCGAUUCCAAUUGAGCAGGGGAUUAUGUGUUGUUGCAACACUAAUAGUUAUCUUCAUACUCUGGUGUCGAUGGUGAUUAUGACGGUUAUGGCGAGAACGUGAAUCCAGCAGAGAUGCUUGGCAGUCUCGUGGCCUCAUCGGAGAAGCAACCCUUUACCGUAGUGAAACGCGCAGACGGCGAACGCGUCUACGUCUGCGACGUAUGCGGCUACGAAACUCGAUACAAAAAUGUCGUUACUGACCACGUGCGAAAACAUACCGGCGAACGACCGUUUGCAUGUCCAUACUGCUCGUUCCGGUGCUCCCAGAAGCCUAAUUGGCGACGACACAUACGACGAAUACACGUUGGCAAGCCAUACUACUUGAACGACCCCGGGUCACUACCCCGAGAGCGUGCGUCCCUUCUCGGAGCCGCAGCUCAAGCGGCGCGAAAAAGCCUCCUACAAACUGAAUUCAGCUGCUCAAUGUGCGAGUACACAUCGAACGUUCCAGGAGCCGACCUUGUUCACAUGUCAAUGCAUCUGAAUGACACUAUUUAAUCUGAUCUCGUAAACGAUAUUGUUCAACCCAAGUCAUUUGGCCUCUGUUUUCUACGGACAGGGCUAGGUGUUUUCUCAAUGGUUGGGCCGAGUUUGUUCGAUAACUGUAUUUCCACAGUAGCACAAACCGAAGCGAGACCAACUACGUACUACAUGAAAAGAAUCACAAAUUAUUUACACACCUCACACAUGUUGUAUCAGUCCGUUUUGGAAAGAGCUCAAUACCCCUUGUUAUAUCAUCGAUCGUAAGAAGCCUGGUACUGUUUUCAACAGGUGUUGAAUAUUGUUGACAGCCUUCGACCUUAGACCGUAACACAAAAAGACUGAUUGAGAUAAUAUUAUGUUGAGUGGCAAACACAACUUAAAGGUGUGGAGGCAAAGGACAUGUUGUAUAUCUAAUGUUUCCGACUCUGGAUUUUGUUUCUCGUUGUCAGUCAACAACGCUAAGAUCGGAUCUUACAGGAAACCAGUCGAGAGAAGUUCUCGGUGCAGUACCAUGGCAGUUCUUUGCAGAUCAGAUUCAACGAGGUAGAAAACACAGAUUUCCAUAUUAGUUUUCAGUAAAGCGUAUCUACGUACAUAUACUCUUCGAAGCAAAAACGAUAUAAUUUACAUCGGCGAGAGCAUAAAGAACAAACAAAGUUUUUGUUGGAAGACGAUUGAGAAUGAUGUAUCUGAAGAGUGAGAUGUUUCGUAAAUGCCCGGUGAAAAGGAACGAAUUCAGGACGAGAUCCGUCUACAAGAACAUCAGUGUUUUUCGUUGUGCAAGACGGACACAGAGAUAAACAGAUUGUAACUUUACAAUUUAUAUCAUAUAUUUUCAUUAACUUCACACAGAAGAUGCCGUGCAUUUGCUCAGCCAGUGCUGUUUAUAUAGGUAAUCAACAACAAAUUGAAGAGAAUAUAUUCAUGAAGAAGGACAUUGAUUGUCAGGCCUCAACAUAUCUAUGUCGGGUUUUGACUUCGUGUUCGAAAACGAAUCUAGUCGAUUGAUUCCGGUGCGAACAAGUUCACACGUACUUUGUCUGAAGAGCUAUUACGACUGUAACUUAAUCUCAACCUGUAACUCUAAUGUGACGGGUUUACAUUGAUGGCAAGAACUUGCCGUGCUCUCCGCCACGAUACAAUAAGAAAGCAGAUGCUAGCGGUGAGAAUUCCAUUUCGUUUGGCUGUAGUAGCUGUCGUGUGGAAUUCACAGAUGUAUCUCAAAGCCAUUCAUUUAUAUAUACACAUAUUAUAUAUAUAUAUAGGAGACCACUAUGGAAAAGUAAACCAAACACUUAUUGACAUUGAUGAUUAUAAAGACAUAUCAUAUUUAUAAAGUGAAAGGACAAACAUAUAGUCAUAUUAUCACACAGAGGUCACUUGCUUGAGCGAAACUGACCAUCACAGUAUAUUAACUCUGACAUAUAUAUAUAUAUAUAUAUAUAUAUAUAUAUAUAUAUAUAGCGCAAACCCGUAUGGUUGAAUGUACAAUCAGCCUCGUUGGAAAAUGUCGUCAAGAAAUUAUGGCAUGUUCCAUAUAGUUGCAAAAAGACGCGGGCGACUUUUUGUUUACCUGAUGACAUUCCGCUAAUUAGAUGCUAAAAUAUUACCACCAUCAUCAUCAUUAUUAUUAUUAUUACUUGAUGUCACGAAUGGUGCGAAUUUUCGAAACUGUACCAGAAAUUCAUGUGCGAAACAAAGAGUCAACGCGAUACUUCGGACAGGUUGCCAAUUAAAGCUUUUUAUACAUACAGGGUGAUUUGAAAGUAACGCUUUUGUUUCUGAAGCAUAAAAAACUAGAAGAAUACGACAAAAUUAAAUAAACGUACUAGUGUUCAGUUUUUGAUACAAACUUCACAACCGUUACAUUUCUCCAACUACUGAGGAGGAUCGCACGAGAUCUCACGAUCGGGAUAUCAUACAACUAAUAUAUUUUGAUAUUGCCAUAUAUAUUAUAUAUAAAUAUAUAUAUUUAAUAUUAGAAAAAAUACGAUGCGACAUUAUAUUUUUAAUUGGGGUAACUGCUGUAUAGCAAUUAUAGAAACAGGUGUCAUACACAAUAUAAUGUCGUUAAGAUGAUCAUAAACACCAACGAGAUUGAAAGAAAAUUUAUAUUCUAGUCGGCAGGAGAAGAAAGAUAUUUUCUAAUGUACUGAUUUUUCAAUGAGUCGCGCCCAUUUUGUCAUAUUUUAUAUCGAAUAAAUAAAUAUAU
rnacentral:lncRNA from 1 species